UACAGAGGGGGCAAGCGUUGUUCGGAAUUACUGGGCGUAAAGGGCGCGUAGGCGGCCUUCUAAGUCGAACGUGAAAUCCCCGGGCUCAACCUGGGAACUGCAUCCGAGACUGCAUUGCUAGAGUAUGGGAGAGGGAAGCGGAAUUUCUGGUGUAGCAGUGAAAUGCGUAGAUAUCUGGAGGAACACCAGCGGCGAAGGCGGCUUUCUGGCUCAUUCCUGACGCUGAGGAGCGAAAGCGUGGGUAGCGAACGGG
rnacentral:rRNA from 1 species